ACCCAUCCUACCCUCACUCUCACACAAACGUCGCCCAUGGAGCCGUUACAGGAACAGAUUAGAAUCCGGGCAGAUUCUGAGCACUUGGAAAGAAAGGGAAGUUCAGUUACGCCAGGAGUUCUGGGUCUCAUUCAUCCCAGAACCUCAGCCCUGAGGCUACAAUGUCCCUGUUGUCCGGGUCGCUUCCUAUUGGACACACCGAAAGUACAGGAAUUACCCAACAAAAACCCUCAAGAUGCCCAUUUGAUGAAAGAGGAAACUGAGGCGGGUACAGAAGCUUGUGAAAUAAAACUCUGUGAGCAGAGCUGAUACCACC